CCCAAGGCCCCGCCCCCUACAGGCUGCCCUCCGGGAGCUACACCUUGUACCCCCUGAGUCCCCUUCCACUCAGCCUCACCUCACAGGCCCGACCGUCCCACGAGGCCCGGUGAGUCCUCCAGGACCCGCUCACCUGCGCCGCUCCCCGAGUAGCCACGCCUUCCGAGGCCCCGCCCAGCCAUACACGCAGCACGGCGCGCUCAUCUGGCUUCCCUUGAACCCUGUACACGCCCAGUCCUUCGGACUCGGGGUGAGCACGUGCGCGGGGCCUGCUGGGCAGAGCCCUGAACGCCGCCGCCGGGGAUUCCAGUCCCCACCCCGCCCCAGCGUGGACCCUGCAGCCAGGGCCUGAAGUAGAGCCACGGGUGGACUUCCUCAUCCUCGUGGAGGCAGACCCCAAGGAGAUUCCCCGAGCAUGGCGCCUGGGCCCGUGCGUGGGGAAGAGUGUGGUGCACCCUGCCCUCGAGUUCGCUGGCUGCGCAAGACUGAUGAGACAGGCCACUCUUCCAGACCCUGAGCACGCUGCCAGAUGAAACACCUAAGGCUGAUGUGCAGAGAAUGGAACCCGGAGUCAGAGAUGGCUUGGGAGGCCUGAGUGCCCUUGGGAGCUGAAGAGAGGCGGGUCCUGCUCAGCUCGGGGAUAUCCGGCACUUCCCGUCGCUCCAGCCUCCCCAGAGUAGGCACCCAGUCCCUUCCCUUCUUCCCAUUCUGGGUUUUUUGGGAGACACCGCUUCACCCGAUGAGGAAGAAAGCUGCCCCUCCGGAUCCUCACCUCCAGUCUACAGGGCCACCCACACUGGGUGCUUCCUUUCUGGCUUCCUUCUGGCCCUGGGGAGGUGGGCGGGGCUCUGGGGUUAUGAGAGGAGGGUGUUGGUGCAGUGCGGGGCGCUUCCCGAGGGGGGAUGGCCCGAACAAGGCCCUGGAUUGCUGCUGUGUUCGCUCGGGGGUCAGAGGUCAGAUGGGGUUCGAAGCUCAGGGGUCAGAGGUCAGAUGGGGUUCGAAGCUCAGGGGUCAGAGGUCAGGUGGGGUUCGGCCCCCAGGUGGGCGGAGCGUGACCUCCCAGGGCUCAUCUCCUUCCAGGCAGGCUCUGAUCCACACGCACAGUGGAGCUGUUAUGGGACCCUGCCUUCCAGUGUCUCCUGUGCCUGCAGAUUCGUCAGGGACGUGUUGCCUCUUACUGCUCUGGGGAAGAAGCCGGAGAUCCAGGGCGGCGUGGCUGUGGAGAUGAGCUCAGAUGAACAUGGAAGGCUCAGGCUGCAGUGUGGACCACAAGAGGGUCCCUAAGACUCUGCUGGCAGGCAAGAAAAUCUUGUGAUGUUGGCCUGAAGGGAUCCCCCACACACAGCAAUUCACUCAGCAGUCCAUAUCCUCCCUUCGCUGAGUGGAUUUCUCAUGCAUUAUUUCCCAUCUCCCCUGCCACUCCUCGUGGACACAUGAACAAAGAUUUUUCUUCUUGGAACCCUAGGUUGGAGGAUGGUGUCACUGGAACUGUUCAGUGAACAUCUGCUGGAUGGGUAAGUGGAUGGUGGAUGAAUGGAUGAUGGAUGAAUGGAUGGAUGGGUAGAUGGAUCAGUGAGUGGAUGGAUGAAGGGAUAGAUGGAUGGGUAGGUGGAUGGAUGGAUGGAUGGGUGGGUGGGUGGAUGGAUGGAUGGGUGAAUGGUGGAUGUUAAAUUAAUGUUGGAUGGAUGGUGGACUGCACAGAGACCUGCCCUUGUUCUGAGGCAAUAUUGCAUAAAUUUAUACAUCACUCAAGCUAUUAUUAUUAUUAUUAUUAUUAUUAAUUAUUUUAUUUUGGUGUUGAAGUAAUGAAGUCAUGGCUGGGAAAACUUUCAGACCAC
rnacentral:lncRNA from 1 species